GCUUGUGUAGCUCAGUUGGUAGAGCACGUCAUUCGUAAUGAUGAGGCCCGGAGUUCGAGUCUCCGCACAAGCU
rnacentral:tRNA from 1 species